UUGAGUCUCGUAGAGGGGGGUAGAAUUCCAGGUGUAGCGGUGAAAUGCGUAGAGAUCUGGAGGAAUACCGGUGGCGAAGGCGGCCCCCUGGACGAAGACUGACGCUCAGGUGCGAAAGCGUGGGGAGCAAACAGGAUUAGAUACCCUGGUAGUCCACGCCGUAAACGAUGUCGACUUGGAGGUUGUGCCCUUGAGGCGUGGCUUCCGGAGCUAACGCGUUAAGUCGACCGCCUGGGGAGUACGGCCGCAAGGUUAAAACUCAAAUGAAUUGACGGGGGCCCGCACAAGCGGUGGAGCAUGUGGUUUAAUUCGAUGCAACGCGAAGAACCUUACCUGGUCUUGACAUCCACGGAAGUUUUCAGAGAUGAGAAUGUGCCUUCGGGAACCGUGAGACAGGUGCUGCAUGGCUGUCGUCAGCUCGUGUUGUGAAAUGUUGGGUUAAGUCCCGCAACGAGCGCAACCCUUAUCCUUUGUUGCCAGCG
rnacentral:rRNA from 1 species